UGGAAAUCGCACACAAACAUUGUCGCUAGUCCCAUCAGUUAAAAAUAGUAAUCCAAUUGUAAAAUCUGUGUUGUAAUCGGCAGCGUACAAGCUAGUUAUCUUAAAUAGUAAAUAAAGUUUCAGAUGUGCUGCGUGAUGAUGUGUUGAGGUUGGCUCAGUAAAACGACUGUUAUGUUAUCAUGAUGCGUUCCAAUGUAAGAUAGAGAAACGGUCAAUUGAGUUUUUGGUGAGAAACAUGAAUAAUGUAUUACUCAUGUUUCUGUAUUACUAAUACAGUUGUAUAGUGCUCUAAUCAUUUUAGUAUAUAUAAUUAAAACUACUGAUGUCAAUAUUUAUUAAGAAUUACAUAUUUAAUUUAAAAUAUAAUUAUUUAUUUCCUAAAUAUUUUCCUCAUCACUAAAAACUAGGGGUGCAACGGAUCACAAAGCUCACGGUUCAGGUCGGGUCACGGUUUUUGAGUCACGGGUCGGAUCAUUUUCGGAUGAACAAUAAAGAUAACAAGACAAAUGUGACUUUAAAUAAAAUCUUCAACUGUGUAAAAACAAAAUAAAGUGAAAAAUUAGGUAAUAAUCCUGCUUCCUUUAAGCAUGGUCAAUAUUUAAAAAAUGUGCAAUCUGAGGCAUUAUUCCUUCUUUUUAACAUGGAUAGGAUAGUAAAUAAUCCCUAACCCUGGAUUUACAAUUCAGGAUGUCUGCAUUGCCUGGGGAGAACAUCCUUAUCUUCUUUUUUUUAGUUUGGUAGCGAAAUACAGUUUCUGUGGUGUUUUAUUUGGCAUUUUGUAAAUCCAUUGAUUUCGGUUGGGAGACUCAUUGCUCAUUGCAAGGGGGGUUGGUUGUAGUCUUUUCGCUCGGUUCUCGCCCUACUGUCGAUACGGCGAACCGAGCGAAAAGACUACAACCAAACCUAAACACGUCCUGUUCCGGUUUACAUUUCAAUGGGAUUUACGGAACGCCAAAUGAAACACAACAGAAACUUUUUUUCGCCACAAUACUUGAUGACGUUGUUAAUACCGGAAUUGUCCUCUAAACAUGCGCUGAUCACGUCAACGCACAACUUUCUUUUUCUAUCAGCCGAUCCGCGGAUCACUUGCGUCCCGAACCGUGAUGGUUGAUCCGUACGGAUCACGGGAAACCCGUGAACCGUUGAACCACUACUAAAAACGUGUCGUAUUUCCACCAAUUAAUAGAAAAGUAUCAAUAAAGACUCGGAUCGUUAAGGAGUAUCGAAAAUGGUAUCGAUAUCAAUAAAUAUUAAUGAUCCCCAUCCCUAGUUACGACAUGAUUAUGCAACAUUUUCCAGUAAGAAUCGGGAGGCUGAAAAACACUGCUGGAUCAGCCUCGUAGAGCCAGUGAUGACAAGCUCCAUCCUUUCACCAAAGAAUCCUAUGUAUUUAGAGGGUUUAAUAAUAUUGGGGUUGCAUUUAUUUUAAAUAGUGUAGCGAAUGGCAGUUCACAGAUGAGGGGAUUAUGAUGGAUCGUUGAGCAUUUGGAGCGGUCUAUAAUGGUUGUUAAGCACGAUCGCUGUUCUUUAACUAAAAGUAGGAUAUCCCUCCUUUGGUGAAAGUUGGUGUCAAACAAAACGUUUGCAUUGCACUGCAACCCUUCAUGUUGUCAAAAGCAAUUCCAAAUAAAUCAAAUCAAAAUCAACAUGAAUAAACAAAAAAUAGCGCUGCUGCAUUUCAAGCUCUGGACCAGUUGUUUGUUAGAUUUGAUUAAUCUAUGUAUUGGGCGAGCUGGUGUAGACUACACAGUUCUCCUGUUGAUGUUGUUCAAGUUUUUGAAGGUGUUUUCAGGUUGAAGAUCUGUCGGUGUUCUUUACCCGGACGGUGUGUGUGUCUGUGGUGUGUGUGUGUGGAGAUGUUCCUUUUAUACCACUUAGCAAUUGCAGAAGUCUAUGGUUAUUCGGUUUUCUGGAAAUGUAUGUUACAUAAGCUUCUGUUGAGCUGUGUGUUUCUUUUAAUACAGCACCACCGUAGAGCUGUUUUUCUAUACAUGUUACUUUACGUUUGGAUUUCGGGGAAUAGACCACCAAAGAAUAAGUCCCGCCUCCAAGGCUCCUGGUUGCAUAGUCUCCUUUGGUUUUGGAUUGUCGGUGCCGUUAAAGUAGCAUUUAUAAUCGUUUACUACUUACGGCGCCGACAAUCCAAAACCCAAGUAGAAUCUAGAUGGAAAAAGGGUGUAGUUCAAAACGUGAGCAGCUUUCACUUCUUCGUUACCUAGAGUUUGUCUACGAUUCAAAAACCCCAUGUUAUUUCGCAUAAUCAUUUGAUCGAUGGAACCGGAGCCUCUGAUGCGGGACUUAUUCUUCAGAGGUCUAUUCCUGCCGGUGGUAAUUGUAAAAUUGGUUGAACAUGAAGGAACACCCCGGCUAGGUAGUAAAUAUGGGUGCGCUUCACAAAACUCACCGUUCGGAUCGUGUCACGGUUUUUUAGUCACGGGUCGGAUCAUUUUCGGAUCAACAACAACAAAAAAGAUAAGAAGACAAAUGUGACUUUGAAUAAAAUCUUAAAAUGUGUAAAAAAAUAAAGUGAAAAAUUAGGCAAUAAUCCUGCUUCCUUUAAGCAUAGUACAUUUUGAAAAAAAAAUGCUUGUGUCUAUAAAAACGUAUAAAAAAUAAUGUAAACAAAAAAGU